rnacentral:lncRNA from 1 species
AAAAUGUAGUUAACUGAGAAUCAGAGUGGCCAGGGAGAGAAGAAGGGUAGAGGAGAAAACUCCAUUAAAAAAAAUCCUGUCCUGUAGUCCCCAAAAUUCUAAUAGUUUGAUGUCUGAACAACAUCACCCAGUCAACCUUUUCCAGUCACAAAGAAAUUCUUUGAUCCCAGAAAUAGGUCUAUCUAUGACAAGGCAUGUAACUUUUCUGCACCCCAGUUCCCCAAACUGUAAAACUAUACCAAAAUGAAUCCUACGAGAUAAGGGAUAUGAAACACUAAGAGAUCAUUCUUAAAACUAGUCAAACUUUUUCUGGCAGUAAGAGACAGUCAGUGAUCAAUGUGGGGGAAAGAGGAAAAUCAAGCUAAAAAGCAGUUCAUUCUGAUUUGAAAACAAAACAAAAUCCAUAGCUAUGGAAGACAACUGGGACAAAUGGGAAAUCUCAAUUUUGGAAUACUAGGUAAUUUUAUGGAAUCGUUAGCUUUUUUUAGUGUAAUAAUGAUAUUGUGGCUAGGAACAGAAUAUCUUUAAUCUUAGCAGAUGCAUGUUGAAGUACUUAGAGAUAAAAUGACAUGAUGAAAAACAUGACAUAUAUCUUCGACUUACGAAUGACUCAAAUAAUAGAAAGGGAGGGAGAGAAAGAAGAAGGUUUAUGAAAACUAACCAUCAUUAAAUCUAGGUGCAGGGUAUAUGGGUGCUCAUGGUGCUAUUUUUCAACUUUUCUGUAUGUAUGAAAAUUUGAAAUUUCCAUAAUACAAAGCAGGGAACAAGAGCAUUCUAGCCCUCUAGCAUUCUAGCUCAGGGGUGGGAGGAUAAAUGAGAACCACUCCCACUGAGGGGAACUUGGCAAGAGUUCUUAACACUGUUCAUGUGCCACACAUAUACCCUUUGACCUGGCAAUCCCACUUUAAGGAACAUAUCCUAUAGAUAUAACCACCUCUGUGAAAAAGCACUGUCAGUGAUGGUGGAGUAAAAUAAUCAAAAUGUAUGUUGACAGGGAACUAAUUAAUACAUUGUGUUACAGCUCAUCCUGUGCGAACCUUCAAGAAGACAUAUCUAGAAGAAAUGAUAAGGAAUAAACUAUUACUGCUCUCAUGGGGAGUAUCCACUGAGAAGAGAAGCAGAGCCCAUCUCAAAAACCUCAGCCCUCCUUCCAAAUUCCCUUUCUCUACUGGUUUUUCCUUCCUGCUAUCCACCUGACCACCAGAAAAGGUCCCAAUCCUUUGAAGGAGUCUUGCUUUGGGUCAGACAGUCCUCUACCAUUUGAAGUUGACGUCUAAGAAGAUGAGAACUCAACUUUAUAAAGUCUCCUCUUGUUUUGAGACAAAAGGAAAAAUAGAGGAAAAACCGGAAAGUCCAGCUCAGAGCACCCUAUCAUCUUCGGGCUGCCACCUGGGGCCUCCAGAGAGUAGAAGACCCUCCAGCAGUGGUCAAGGCCUUUCUCAUUCUCCCUACAGUCCUCUGAAUGCCCAAGUCCAGUGAUCCUGAGCUGCACCUUCACUAUUAAUGAAGACACACACCUGACACUUUUCUCCUUUGGAGAGAGAACUGUCCUUCCCAAAUCAGUCUUUUUGCUAUUGACAGCCUUAAGAUGAAGGUAAAAUCUCUAUUCCUUUCCCUCUCCUCUUACACAGAGCACA